AAGACCAAUAUUACUCCUUCUAUUUAUGCUUUUGUUAUUUUCAACAAUUACCGUCAGUUACGACACAGUCAGCUCGGAGGAGUUGAAAAUAAUAUUCAAUGCAAGCACUCAAUGCUCCGGAUUGUCGCAACCGAUUGCUUUUGCAAAUUUCGACAUCAGGAUUUUCAGUGCAACAGCUAUUGUAAUCUUUGCACUAAAGAAUUAUACUUUGAUGCUGCCUGUCUGCGUGGAGGAAUUGAAAUAUCCAAAAAAAGAAUUUACAACUCUUGUGUUUUGGUCAGAAGCAACCCUGGUUCUAAUUUAUACAUUGUUCGCAAUGUCAGUCUAUAUGACAUUCGGAG